UUAAGCGACUAAGCGUACACGGUGGAUGCCCUGGCAGUCAGAGGCGAUGAAGGACGUGCUAAUCUGCGAUAAGCGUCGGUAAGGUGAUAUGAACCGUUAUAACCGGCGAUUUCCGAAUGGGGAAACCCAGUGUGUUUCGACACACUAUCAUUAACUGAAUCCAUAGGUUAAUGAGGCGAACCGGGGGAACUGAAACAUCUAAGUACCCCGAGGAAAAGAAAUCAACCGAGAUUCCCCCAGUAGCGGCGAGCGAACGGGGAGCAGCCCAGAGCCUGAAUCAGUGUGUGUGUUAGUGGAAGCGUCUGGAAAGGCGCGCGAUACAGGGUGACAGCCCCGUACACAAAAAUGCACAUGCUGUGAGCUCGAUGAGUAGGGCGGGACACGUGGUAUCCUGUCUGAAUAUGGGGGGACCAUCCUCCAAGGCUAAAUACUCCUGACUGACCGAUAGUGAACCAGUACCGUGAGGGAAAGGCGAAAAGAACCCCGGCGAGGGGAGUGAAAAAGAACCUGAAACCGUGUACGUACAAGCAGUGGGAGCACGCUUAGGCGUGUGACUGCGUACCUUUUGUAUAAUGGGUCAGCGACUUAUAUUCUGUAGCAAGGUUAACCGAAUAGGGGAGCCGAAGGGAAACCGAGUCUUAACUGGGCGUUAAGUUGCAGGGUAUAGACCCGAAACCCGGUGAUCUAGCCAUGGGCAGGUUGAAGGUUGGGUAACACUAACUGGAGGACCGAACCGACUAAUGUUGAAAAAUUAGCGGAUGACUUGUGGCUGGGGGUGAAAGGCCAAUCAAACCGGGAGAUAGCUGGUUCUCCCCGAAAGCUAUUUAGGUAGCGCCUCGUGAAUUCAUCUCCGGGGGUAGAGCACUGUUUCGGCAAGGGGGUCAUCCCGACUUACCAACCCGAUGCAAACUGCGAAUACCGGAGAAUGUUAUCACGGGAGACACACGGCGGGUGCUAACGUCCGUCGUGAAGAGGGAAACAACCCAGACCGCCAGCUAAGGUCCCAAAGUCAUGGUUAAGUGGGAAACGAUGUGGGAAGGCCCAGACAGCCAGGAUGUUGGCUUAGAAGCAGCCAUCAUUUAAAGAAAGCGUAAUAGCUCACUGGUCGAGUCGGCCUGCGCGGAAGAUGUAACGGGGCUAAACCAUGCACCGAAGCUGCGGCAGCGACGCUUAUGCGUUGUUGGGUAGGGGAGCGUUCUGUAAGCCUGCGAAGGUGUGCUGUGAGGCAUGCUGGAGGUAUCAGAAGUGCGAAUGCUGACAUAAGUAACGAUAAAGCGGGUGAAAAGCCCGCUCGCCGGAAGACCAAGGGUUCCUGUCCAACGUUAAUCGGGGCAGGGUGAGUCGACCCCUAAGGCGAGGCCGAAAGGCGUAGUCGAUGGGAAACAGGUUAAUAUUCCUGUACUUGGUGUUACUGCGAAGGGGGGACGGAGAAGGCUAUGUUGGCCGGGCGACGGUUGUCCCGGUUUAAGCGUGUAGGCUGGUUUUCCAGGCAAAUCCGGAAAAUCAAGGCUGAGGCGUGAUGACGAGGCACUACGGUGCUGAAGCAACAAAUGCCCUGCUUCCAGGAAAAGCCUCUAAGCAUCAGGUAACAUCAAAUCGUACCCCAAACCGACACAGGUGGUCAGGUAGAGAAUACCAAGGCGCUUGAGAGAACUCGGGUGAAGGAACUAGGCAAAAUGGUGCCGUAACUUCGGGAGAAGGCACGCUGAUAUGUAGGUGAAGCGACUUGCUCGUGGAGCUGAAAUCAGUCGAAGAUACCAGCUGGCUGCAACUGUUUAUUAAAAACACAGCACUGUGCAAACACGAAAGUGGACGUAUACGGUGUGACGCCUGCCCGGUGCCGGAAGGUUAAUUGAUGGGGUUAGCGCAAGCGAAGCUCUUGAUCGAAGCCCCGGUAAACGGCGGCCGUAACUAUAACGGUCCUAAGGUAGCGAAAUUCCUUGUCGGGUAAGUUCCGACCUGCACGAAUGGCGUAAUGAUGGCCAGGCUGUCUCCACCCGAGACUCAGUGAAAUUGAACUCGCUGUGAAGAUGCAGUGUACCCGCGGCAAGACGGAAAGACCCCGUGAACCUUUACUAUAGCUUGACACUGAACAUUGAGCCUUGAUGUGUAGGAUAGGUGGGAGGCUUAGAAGUGUGGACGCCAGUCUGCAUGGAGCCGACCUUGAAAUACCACCCUUUAAUGUUUGAUGUUCUAACGUUGACCCGUAAUCCGGGUUGCGGACAGUGUCUGGUGGGUAGUUUGACUGGGGCGGUCUCCUCCUAAAGAGUAACGGAGGAGCACGAAGGUUGGCUAAUCCUGGUCGGACAUCAGGAGGUUAGUGCAAUGGCAUAAGCCAGCUUGACUGCGAGCGUGACGGCGCGAGCAGGUGCGAAAGCAGGUCAUAGUGAUCCGGUGGUUCUGAAUGGAAGGGCCAUCGCUCAACGGAUAAAAGGUACUCCGGGGAUAACAGGCUGAUACCGCCCAAGAGUUCAUAUCGACGGCGGUGUUUGGCACCUCGAUGUCGGCUCAUCACAUCCUGGGGCUGAAGUAGGUCCCAAGGGUAUGGCUGUUCGCCAUUUAAAGUGGUACGCGAGCUGGGUUUAGAACGUCGUGAGACAGUUCGGUCCCUAUCUGCCGUGGGCGCUGGAGAACUGAGGGGGGCUGCUCCUAGUACGAGAGGACCGGAGUGGACGCAUCACUGGUGUUCGGGUUGUCAUGCCAAUGGCACUGCCCGGUAGCUAAAUGCGGAAGAGAUAAGUGCUGAAAGCAUCUAAGCACGAAACUUGCCCCGAGAUGAGUUCUCCCUGAC
rnacentral:rRNA from 1 species